rnacentral:lncRNA from 1 species
GUGAGGGUAGGAUCUGAGGUGGAUGAAUAAAACUAGUCAGGCCCAAAGGACAUUGUAUGUGUUAGGCUGUGCUUAGAGCCAGCAUGCACAGAAGCCUUCCAGACUUGUUUGAGAGCUGGAUUUAGGCCAGGAGGUGCCUGCACAUUAUCUUGUUCUUCUUGCCCUCUUAUCAUCAUUUCUGACUGUUAUGUCCUCCAGAAUUUCCAGGGAGCGGUGAGGAAGGUGAUGAUAAACCAUACAGUAACGUGUGAACCAGAUCUGUCUUGGCAAGCAAGAUUCUGAGCCCUCAGAGGCGUCCUCGUUUCUACCUCCGGAUGGAUGCAUUCUUUUUGGAGAUGACUGCAGAGGAGCACGUCUGUGCCAGUGCAGUGCUUGCUGAGCAAGUGUGGUGGUUUGGUUUUGCAUCCUGCGCAGAAGAGGCUGAUCAAGGCAGCGGUACGAUGCGCACUCCCUGCCUCCAGCUGCAGUGAUUCCAGGCAGACCAUUGAAAUGCCUCUUGUGCCCUGGUCAGGGACAGCUCUCCAAAGCAAGCUGCCCCUUGUAGUAGAGUGGUGCGGCGCAGCAUACCUCGUCCUGCUGCUCUGCUGUGCUGGGCUUCCUCACCCUCCUGCUUGUGCCAAUGCAAGGGCUCUGGGGAACUGCUGCUCGAAAUGGCCUCUGUUGCACUGAAGGCGAUGUGGUCUCUCUCAGUUCCCUUGCAGCCCACAAGGCUGUGUGGUGUCUGAGCCUUGAUGAGAACGGCUUUUCUUCUGAGUGGAGGCCUUUUCAGGGAUCAUCUCUCUUUUUCCAGUGAGUUUCUUCUGUGUAAAUGACUCUGUGAGACUCGGUGACUGAUUUUGAAGUACUGAGUGAGGAGAGGGGACAACUUGCAGCUGUGCUGCAAUGCCCAGGGGAUGCACCCACACGCACUGCUGGCUGUUCUGGCCUUCCUUUGCUUGAACUUGGACCUCUAGAAAGAAUAAAAGCCUUGCCAAUUGAGUGGAGAAGGAUCUUAGGAAUGCAUGUAACAUAUUUUUUUCUCAGAGAGAAAAGCCAGGGAAAACGUUGACACGAGCUUGUGAGAAACAACGUUUGGUGCUCAGUGCGCUUCCCUCAGGUGAUCUUCCUUGCCCGGGAGGGACAGGAUAAACAGGACAGCAAGUUGAACUGCUACACGAAGGGUGAUGAAGGGAAGAGUUUCAGCAUUUUGUUUGCUGUAAGAGGUCUUGAAGUGUUCUGCAAACCCUUGAUGGUUUGGUUGCUGAAACCAAUGAAGCUCUCAGCGCUGUCUGCAAAACAUUCCAGAGGAAGGUGG